rnacentral:rRNA from 1 species
AACGAACGCUGGCGGCAUGCCUAACACAUGCAAGUCGAACGAGACCUUCGGGUCUAGUGGCGCACGGGUGCGUAACGCGUGGGAACCUGCCCUUAGGUUCGGAAUAACUCCCCGAAAGGGGUGCUAAUACCGGAUAAUGUCUUCGGACCAAAGAUUUAUCGCCUUUGGAUGGGCCCGCGUUGGAUUAGCUGGUUGGUAGGGUAAAAGCCUACCAAGGCGACGAUCCAUAGCUGGUCUGAGAGGAUGAUCAGCCACACUGGGACUGAGACACGGCCCAGACUCCUACGGGAGGCAGCAGUGGGGAAUAUUGGACGAUGGGCGAAAGCCUGAUCCAGCAAUGCCGGGUGAGUGAUGAAGGCCUUAGGGUUGUAAAGCUCUUUUACCCGGGAUGAUAAUGACAGUACCGGGAGAAUAAGCUCCGGCUAACUCCGUG